rnacentral:rRNA from 1 species
AUUGAACGCUGGCGGCAGGCUUAACACGUGCCAGUCGAGCGGUAGCACAGGGGAGCUUGCUCCCUGGGUGACGAGCGGCGGACGGGUGAGUAAUGUCUGGGAAACUGCCUGAUGGAGGGGGAUAACUACUGGAAACGGUAGCUAAUACCGCAUAACGUCGCAAGACCAAAGAGGGGGACCUUCGGGCCUCUUGCCAUCAGAUGUGCCCAGAUGGGAUUAGCUAGUAGGUGGGGUAAUGGCUCACCUAGGCGACGACCCCUAGCUGGUCUGAGAGGAUGACCAGCCACACUGGAACUGAGACACGGUCCAGACUCCUACGGGAGGCAGCAGUGGGGAAUAUUGCACAAUGGGCGCAAGCCUGAUGCAGCCAUGCCGCGUGUGUGAAGAAGGCCUUCGGGUUGUAAAGCACUUUCAGCGAGGAGGAAGGUGGUGAGCUUAAUACGUUCAUCAAUUGACGUUACUCGCAGAAGAAGCACCGGCUAACUCCGUG